rnacentral:rRNA from 1 species
UGAAACUGCGAAUGGCUCAUUAAAUCAGAAAUAGUCUAUUUGAUAAUACCUUACUACUCGGAUAACUGUAGUAAUUCUAGAGCUAAUACGUGCCAAAAGCUCCACUUAGAAAUGAGUGGGGUGUAUUUAUUAGAUAAAAAACCAAUGCACGGGGCAACUCGUGGUUAUUGUUGAAUCAUAAAAACUUUGCGAAUCGCAUGGCCUUGUGCUGGCGAUGAAUCAUUCAAAUUUCUGCCCUAUCAACUUUCGAUGGUAGUGUAGUGGACUACCAUGGUCGUAACGGGUGACGGAGAAUUAGGGUUCGGUUCCGGAGAGGGAGCCUGAGAGACGGCUACCACUUCCAAGGAAGGCAGCAGGCGCGCAAAUUACCCAAUGGCAAUACGCCGAGGUAGUGACAAUAAAUAACA